UACAGAGGUCUCAAGCGUUGUUCGGAUUCAUUGGGCGUAAAGGGUGCGUAGGUGGCGAUGUAAGUCUGGUGUGAAGUCUCGGGGCUCAACCUCGAAAUUGCAUUGGAUACUGCGUUGCUUGAGGAUUGUAGAGGAGAGUGGAAUUCACGGUGUAGCAGUGAAAUGCGUAGAUAUCGUGAGGAAGACCAGUUGCGAAGGCGACUCUCUGGGCAAUUCCUGACACUGAGGCACGAAGGCCAGGGGAGCAAACGGG
rnacentral:rRNA from 1 species